UAAGCGGAGGAAAAGAAACUAACAAGGAUUCCCCUAGUAACUGCGAGUGAAGCGGGAAAAGCUCAAACUUGGANUCUGGUGGUCUUUGGCCAUCCGAGUUGUAAUUUAGAGAAGCGUCUUCCGCGCUGGACCGUGCACAAGUCUCCUGGAAUGGAGCGUCAUAGAGGGUGAGAAUCCCGUCUUUGGCACGGAAUCCCAGGGCUUCUGUGAUGCGCUCUCGACGAGUCGAGUUGUUUGGGAAUGCAGCUCAAAAUGGGUGGUGAACUCCAUCUAAAGCUAAAUAUUGGCGAGAGACCGAUAGCGAACAAGUACCGUGAGGGAAAGAUGAAAAGCACUUUGGAAAGAGAGUGAAACAGUACGUGAAAUUGUUGAAAGGGAAACGCUUGAAGUCAGUCGCGUCGACCGAGACUCAGCCUUGCCUCGGCUUGGUGUACUUCUCGGCUUGACGGGUCAGCAUCGAUUUCGAUCCUCGGAUAAUGGCAAGGGAAAGGUAGCACCUUUUUAGGUGUGUUAUAGUCCUCUGUCGCAUGCGAGGGUCGGGAUCGAGGAACUCAGCACGCACCUCAGGGUGUCGGGGCCUUGGCCCACGUUUACGUGCUUAGGAUGCUGGCGUAAUGGCUUUAAACGACC
rnacentral:rRNA from 1 species